rnacentral:lncRNA from 1 species
AUCAAUAUGUGUUCUUAAUUCCAAAUCAUGGUGCACAUCAGGUGAUGUCGUUGACUAAUCCUGCCGAUGAAAGGAUUCGUGCCCUUGAAGAGAAGCUCAAGGCUAUGGAAGUACAUGAAAAUCCUGGGCUCGAUGCCUUUGAUAUGUGCCUGGUGACAGUCCUGGUGAUCCCUCAUAAAUUCAAGGAACCUGAUUUUGAGAAGUGAAAGGGAAUCAAUCGUCAGAAGACCCCCUGGGAGCAUACUACAGGAAGAUGUUC